AUUGAACGCUGGCGGCAUGCUUUACACAUGCAAGUCGAACGGUAACAGGUCUUCGGAUGCUGACGAGUGGCGAACGGGUGAGUAAUACAUCGGAACGUGCCUAGUAGUGGGGGAUAACUACUCGAAAGAGUAGCUAAUACCGCAUGAGAUCUACGGAUGAAAGCAGGGGACCUUCGGGCCUUGUGCUACUAGAGCGGCUGAUGGCAGAUUAGGUAGUUGGUGGGGUAAAGGCUUACCAAGCCUGCGAUCUGUAGCUGGUCUGAGAGGACGACCAGACACACUGGGACUGAGACACGGCCCAGACUCCUACGGGAGGCAGCAGUGGGGAAUUUUGGACAAUGGGCGAAAGCCUGAUCCAGCAAUGCCGCGUGCAGGAUGAAGGCCCUCGGGUUGUAAACUGCUUUUGUACGGAACGAAAAGCCUGGGGCUAAUAUCCCCGGGUCAUGACGGUACCUCACGAGAAAGCACCGGCUAAUUCUGUGCCAGCAGCCGCGGUAA
rnacentral:rRNA from 1 species